rnacentral:rRNA from 1 species
GACGAACGCUGGCGGCGUGCCUAAUACAUGCAAGUUGAGCGCUGAAGGUUGGUUCUUGUACCAACUGGAUGAGCAGCGAACGGGUGAGUAACGCGUGGGGAAUCUGCCUUUGAGCGGGGGACAACAUUUGGAAACGAAUGCUAAUACCGCAUAAAAACUUUAAACACAAGUUUUAAGUUUGAAAGAUGCAAUUGCAUCACUCAAAGAUGAUCCCGCGUUGUAUUAGCUAGUUGGUGAGGUAAAGGCUCACCAAGGCGAUGAUACAUAGCCGACCUGAGAGGGUGAUCGGCCACAUUGGGACUGAGACACGGCCCAAACUCCUACGGGAGGCAGCAGUAGGGAAUCUUCGGCAAUGGACGAAAGUCUGACCGAGCAACGCCGCGUGAGUGAAGAAGGGUGUCGGAUCGUAAAACUCGGUUGGUAGAGAAGAACGUUGGUGAGAGUGGAAAGCUCAUCAAGUGACGGUAACUACCCAGAAAGGGACGGCUAACUACGUG